CGCCCGCUCCCCCGCCCCCCACCCCGGGGGAAGGGCCCACGCCCGCCGGGUCGCCCGGCACUCACAGGCUGCCGGAGCAGGAGGUACAGACGAAGGAGCCGAUCGUCAUGUUCACGGUCCCUAGCCCCCCACGACACAGUGGACUUCACUCAGGAGGGACCUAGGUCUGCAUCGGCUCACCAUUACUCCUCCAGCACUUAGCAUGGUGCCUGGCUAAGGGGCUCAAUCGUGCCGGAAUCAGAAAUCCUGAACCGCCCUGCCCUGGCCGCCUCUGGAGAGCUGGAAUCAUCAUCUUUGGAAGCCAAUGGAGAGAGAAAAGGUCCCUGCCUCUGCAGCAGGAAGAGUCCCAGGAUGAAGAAACUAAGACUCCUGAGUUAAGCACCUUGCCAACGUCAUAUAGCUGGGAAGUGAUGGAGCUGGGAUUUGCAAGUUGGCCCUUUGUCUCCAGAGCCCAUGACUCAGCCUCCACAGUCAGCGCUGCGGUGUCUGGUGGGAUGCUCUUGUCAACCAAGCCCGAUCCUACAGGAAAGCAGGAAAAAUCAGGAGCUGCCCACAGGACAGAGCAUGAACUAAGGAGAAGAAAAGAACCACACUGACUUCACCAGAGCAGCGUGGGCACUCCCAGCUGAGAAGAGGCAACCGCUCCAGGAGGCAGGGCACGGACGGGCUUCCCCGGGGCCGAGCUGAGUUCAAAUCCCAGCUCUGGAAUGUACCAGCUAUGUGACCUUGAAACUACUGUCUGCAACAGAGGUCAGCAAAUAAUUUUAUAAAGGGCCAGCUGGCAGAUACCCUCCGCUUUGCUCUCCAGACAGUCCCCAUCACAAUUACCCAACUGUUAGCAACUGUUGCUGCCCAGACCCAGCUGAACACAGGGUAUUAGUCUACCGGGGCUGCCAUAAUGAAGUACCACCGACCGGGUGACUUAAACACCACAAAUUAAUUUUCUCUGGGUUCUGGAGGCUAGGAGUCCAAGACUGAGGUGUGGGCAGGGUUGGUUUCUUCUGAGGCCGGUGAUUCACCUCUGAUGGUGUCGUCUGUGUCCUCAUCUCUUUCUGUCAGGACUUUAUUCCUAUUGGAUUAGGACCCAUCCUAAUCAUUCUAACUUAAUCACCUCUUUAAAGGCCCUAGCUCCAAAUGCAGUCAUAUACUCAAGCACUGGGGGUUAGGACUUCAACAUUCAGAUUUUGGGGGCGACAGAAUUCAGCCCGUAACAGCACGUAAAUGAGAACUCUCGCUGUGUUCGAAAUGAAACUUCGCAAAAUGAGGCCUGUGGCCACCUUUGGGCCUGUGGACCCAGGUUUGUAGACGGCUGGUGUCUACUCUCCCCCUUCCUGGAAUCCCUCACUCCCCUUAGGCUCCCUCACAUCCUUCCACCUAAAGGCUUCCCCUAAGGUCACCAGUGGCCUUGUCUCUCUUGCCCCCAGCAGUGUCACGUCCACACAGUCUCUCUUCCCUGGACUCUAGUGAGGCCACACUCCUUGGAUUUCCGACCCUUCUAGCCCGCCCCUUCCCUGAUUCUUCGCUGGCACUUCCUCCUCUUCCCAACCACUAAGUGUUCUGCCGUCUUAAACCUCAGCGAGGGGCUCUCCUCCUUUCUGGCUGUAUAAUUUCCUCCAAGGUAAUCUCAUCAACACUUCUACUGUCAGUUACCCUCUAGAGCUGAGGACUUCCAAAUAUAUAGCUCUAGCCCAUACAUCUGAUUCCCUCCCCCAGAUUUCCUCUCGUCAGUGUUUCUGUAAUUUUGUGUGGUGCA